UAGGGAAUCUUCGGCAAUGGGGGCAACCCUGACCGAGCAACGCCGCGUGAGUGAAGAAGGUUUUCGGAUCGUAAAGCUCUGUUGUAAGAGAAGAACGUGUGUGAGAGUGGAAAGUUCACACAGUGACGGUAACUUACCAGAAAGGGACGGCUAACUACGUGCCAGCAGCCGCGGUAAUACGUAGGUCCCGAGCGUUGUCCGGAUUUAUUGGGCGUAAAGCGAGCGCAGGCGGUUUAAUAAGUCUGAAGUUAAAGGCAGUGGCUUAACCAUUGUUCGCUUUGGAAACUGUUAAACUUGAGUGCAGAAGGGGAGAGUGGAAUUCCAUGUGUAGCGGUGAAAUGCGUAGAUAUAUGGAGGAACACCGAUGGCGAAAGCGGCUCUCUGGUCUGCAACUGACGCUGAGGCUCGAAAGCGUGGGGAGCAAACAGG
rnacentral:rRNA from 1 species